rnacentral:rRNA from 1 species
GAUGAACGCUAGCUACAGGCUUAACACAUGCAAGUCGCGGGGCAGCAUGGGGGUUGCUUGCACUCCCCGAUGGCGACCGGCGCACGGGUGAGUAACGCGUAUCCAACCUGCCCUUCACCACGGGAUAACCCGGCGAAAGUCCGACUAAUACCGUAAGUUGUCCAUUGACGGCACCCGAUUUCGUCGAAAGUUUUGGCGGUGAAGGAUGGGGUCGCGUCCGAUUAGCUGGACGGCGGGGUGACGGCCCACCGUGGCGACGAAGGGUAGGGGUUAUGAGAGGAAGGUCCACCACAAUGGAACCGAGACACAGACCAGACUGCUACGGGAGGGAGCAGUGAGGAAUAUUAGGCAAGGGGCGUAAGCCUGAACCAGCCAAGUAGCGGGCAGGAUGACGGCCCUAGGGGUUGUAAACUGCUUUUAUGCGGGGAUAAAGGGGCCAACGUGUGGGUUUUUGCAGGUACCGCAUGAAUAAGGACCGGCUAAUUCCGUG